AAUCAACGCUGGCGGCGUGCCUAACACAUGCAAGUCGAACGAGAAAGCGGGGGCAACUCUGCGAGUAAAGUGGCAGACGGGUGAGUAACACGUGAACAACCUACCCUUGAGAGGGGAAUAACACCGCGAAAGCGGUGCUAAAACCGCAUAACAUCCCACGGUUGCAUGACUGAGGGAUCAAAAGCGCAAGCUACUUGAGGAGGGGUUCGCGGCUGAUUAGCUAGUUGGUGAGGUAACGGCCCACCAAGGCAACUAUCAGUAGCCGGCCUGAGAGGGCGGACGGCCACACUGGAACUGGGACACGGUCCAGACUCCUACGGGAGGCAG
rnacentral:rRNA from 1 species